rnacentral:rRNA from 1 species
UUGAACGCUGGCGGCAGGCCUAACACAUGCAAGUCGAGCGGAUGAGGGAGCUUGCUCCUGGCUUCAGCGGCGGACGGGUGAGUAAUGCCUAGGAAUCUGCCUGGUAGUGGGGGAUAACGUCCGGAAACGGGCGCUAAUACCGCAUACGUCCUGAGGGAGAAAGUGGGGGAUCUUCGGACCUCACGCUAUCAGAUGAGCCUAGGUCGGAUUAGCUAGUUGGUGGGGUAAAGGCCUACCAAGGCGACGAUCCGUAACUGGUCUGAGAGGAUGAUCAGUCACACUGGAACUGAGACACGGUCCAGACUCCUACGGGAGGCAGCAGUGGGGAAUAUUGGACAAUGGGCGAAAGCCUGAUCCAGCCAUGCCGCGUGUGUGAAGAAGGUCUUCGGAUUGUAAAGCACUUUAAGUUGGGAGGAAGGGCAGUAAGUUAAUACCUUGCUGUUUUGACGUUACCAACAGAAUAAGCACCGGCUAACUUCGUG